AGUGAACGCUGGCGGUAGGCCUAACACAUGCAAGUCGAACGGCAGCACAGUAAGAGCUUGCUCUUACGGGUGGCGAGUGGCGGACGGGUGAGGAAUACAUCGGAAUCUACUUUUUCGUGGGGGAUAACGUAGGGAAACUUACGCUAAUACCGCAUACGACCUACGGGUGAAAGCAGGGGAUCUUCGGACCUUUCGCGAUUGAAUGAGCCGAUGUCGGAUUAGCUAGUUGGCGGGGUAAAGGCCCACCAAGGCGACGAUCCGUAGCUGGUCUGAGAGGAUGAUCAGCCACACUGGAACUGAGACACGGUCCAGACUCCUACGGGAGGCAGCAGUGGGGAAUAUUGGACAAUGGGCGCAAGCCUGAUCCAGCCAUACCGCGUGGGUGAAGAAGGCCUUCGGGUUGUAAAGCCCUUUUGUUGGGAAAGAAAAGCAGCAGAUUAAUACCCCGCUGUUCUGACGGUACCCAAAGAAUAAGCACCGGCUAACUUCGUG
rnacentral:rRNA from 1 species